rnacentral:rRNA from 1 species
CCUACGGGAGGCAGCAGUGGGGAAUCUUGCGCAAUGGGCGAAAGCCUGACGCAGCCAUGCCGCGUGAAUGAUGAAGGUCUUAGGAUUGUAAAAUUCUUUCACCGGGGACGAUAAUGACAGUACCGGGAGAAUAAGCCCCGGCUAACUCCGUGCCAGCAGCCGCGGUAAU